rnacentral:lncRNA from 1 species
GCAUCCCAGUCUCCUGUCAUCGUGUCCUCAUCCCUGCCUACUGUUCCUGACCGUAGCUGUUUUAACCUGGGAAAGGAGAGUAAGCUCCGUGCGGGUCAGCAACGCCGCCGGGCCCAAGGAAAAGGCCUUGGUAUCAGUCUGGAAUCCUCGGACAGCCUGAUGGUGAAGCUCAAAAUCCGUCCAAGUGAGGAGUGCAACAUACCCAACACAAUGAGGUUCCAUAGAUGCAGUGAGAACUAG